rnacentral:lncRNA from 1 species
AGAGAUGGAGACUAACGUCUUCCAAGGGAGAUUGCGUCUCCACUUUCACCCUGGUACUGAGAGGUUGAGCACAAAAUUGGAACGCAGUCGCGGGGUAUAUCCCCCUGAAAACCGUACGUUGCCAAAUAAUGAUUUCUUUGGAUUAGAGAACUACAACUCCCCUGGGUCCUGAGCCGGUAUUUCCCUUUUGCGGCUGCACCGUAGUUAAAAACAAAGCUAAGUGUUCUGGGACGUAUAGUUCUAGCGUUCCUUGGGUCCCGCUGGCGAGCGUGGGCUUUCUGCAGCUCGCAACCGGCCUCGUGCUUUGCGGACGGUUCACUGCGCUUGGAAAGGGAUUGGCCUGGGGUACAUCAUCUAAAGAUCCUAGGAUUGCUGCAGGUCAGCAGUCUCCACUGGAAAAAAAGAUCUUGCAUGUAUUUCAAGUCCUCUGAUGAAUCAUGUGAUCUACUAGACCCUGAAGAUACAGUGAAGAGCAAAAGAACACAGAUGAAAUGAGAAACAAAAACGAUGGAGAAAACCAAAAAAGGGGACACAUGGGAUCCAGGCAAUAGGAGAGCCAGCAUAAGAGAGAGCCAGAGGGAUGCCCAGGAUGAGGUGAAGACGAUCUUGGAAAUCAGCCCAGAUGUGCAUGCACCAGUCCACGUGUGGCAGGACCAAGGGAAGUGUCUUCACAAAGAUGAGGCUUUGAUUUGUUGGAGAAACUGUUACCAGAAAAACAGGUCCCGAUCCCGACCCCAAAAGAGUAUUCUUGGAUCUUGCACAGGAAGGAAUUAAAGGUGAGUCACAGAGUGCAGUGAGAAGGAGAUAGUUUAUUGAAAGUUACUCAGAUACAGAGUAGGUGUCCUCAGAAAGCAAAAGGAAGAAUGCACCAUCUUUGUUGUAAACUCUUCUAAUGUAGGGGUUUAAUCUACAUAAAAGCUAAGUUAAAUGUCUAUGUGUGGGUGCUCUGACAGCAUGACAAAAUUUAGGACCUAUUGAUUUAAAGAAAGUUAUCCUUGGCAUUUUAGUUAGUAUAUCAAAGCAUGACUAUAAUAAUCUUAAAAGCAUAUAUUAUAAUGUGACGUCAGGACAUGUGGACAUUCUGUUGUCUGUCAUAGGCGUUUGUUCUUGCAGGCAUUAUUAAGUUGUUUAAUCAGCUGUAAACCUCUUAUGACCAUGGGUUGUGACUGGCAAGGAAUAUGCCUUGCUAGUUGAAAGAUGGAGUUGACUUUAAAAUGGUGUCACCCUGGCUCUCCUAUGCUUCUGUUUCCCCAAAAAAGCCAGGUUACUUGUCCUGUAGAAUGAUCCACAUUCUGAGUUUGGCUAAUGACAUUCUCAUGGUAUUAACUUGUUUCUUUAUAUGUUGUUUUUUCUGUUACCCACAAAAUAAUUCUUCUGAUACACAUUUGUAAUCUUACCAUGCCAGCAUCUGCUACUCUUCAUGUUACCAAAUUUCUGUUCAAGGACCACUAAAGCCACAGUCAGUGGACAUUCUGAGACCUCUAGGGGAGGGUGGAGAUGCUGUCCUUUAAUAUAGUCUGACCCAAGCAACCUCCCCACUUGGCAUGGUGAAUCUAGACAAGCUAAAGAAUUUACUACGCCCCAGGCCUGCACCAGCCCUCUCCUAAGACCUUGGGCACUCUCAUUUCCCUUUUUUUUUUUUCUAAAGGAAGUCAUAGUUUCUCAUAACCUUUGCUAGUGAUCCUGGACCUUGGUUGUUCCCUGAGGCUGUGUUCUCCACACUGCUGCCAUCACUGCUACAGCAGAGGUGCAGAAAGCUCAGGAGAGAGAAGGGAGGAAAAGCUGAAGAUUUUGUGUUAUUCAUGCUUUCCUGACUCCGGCGAAAGUGCUUCCUCCACCUGCAACCAUUUCUGUUUCUAUACUGCUGAGUCUUGUGUUCCCAAGACCAAGGGAAGCCCAUUUUCUUUAAAGCCAGUCACAGUUUCUGUUGGCUGAUGGAAUAUCUGUUGUCCAGCAGUUGUAUUCCUGCUCACAAAUGCAAAACAGUUUGAUGCCACGCACAUUCCAGGGCUUAGACUGGAAAUGCUGUCCCUUGCCCCUUUGUUACCUUCUGACAGGGAUCAGUCCAUAGUGUAGUUGGUGUCACAACAGUCCCGAAGAAGCCUUCCAAUAGAUACCCAAAUGUGAUUCAAAGUGGCACAGGCACACACCACGGUGCCACAUGGUGCCUAUGUAAAGCAGGUAUAUCAGGAAUGCUAAGCAGAGAAGUAGCAGAACACACUGAUCCCCAUGUUCUCAUUGUACAGUUGGGUGCAAUUAAGCUGGCACAAUGGACUCUUCUCAUGGCUACUGUUCCAGUAGUGUGGAUGCCCCCAAAUGCUGCAUAUUUACUAGGACAGCCAGGCAGAGACAGCUGUGUACUAUGAUACAACAGUAGUCCCUCUUAGAGGAAGUGACCUUGUUAGAAGUGGGAGUUUCUGAAGCUCUUCAGCUGUUACUGGCCUGCUCUUCCAUAGCGUUACUUCAGACCUGCUGGCCCAGCUAUCCACUCCGCUAACAGGUCUGUCUCUGCUAACAGGUCUAGCUCUGUCUCCUCAGCACAUGUUCUAGGCUCUGACUGCAAGUGCUGACUUGGGCUCCCAGCCCCACACAGACCCUCUGUUCCAUGAAAGGGCCAUCUAUGCAAAGUGCCCCCCAAAUGCCAAAGGAGCCAAUAAACCAAGGAACAAGACAGACAAAUCUAGUUGUCAGUAAAGAGUGUUUUAUUGGGGAACUUACAGACAGAAGCGUGGUCUUGGAUGGCAGGAAGACAGGUAGGUUUCUGCACUUAUUACCCCCACACCCAGGGCUUAUAUACCACAGGGGAAGAGUAUACAUGCUCUGUGCAAGACAAAGGCUACUACUGUCCAGAACAGGUAAGAAUGCUAAUGUGUCAUAGCCUAGAAUUUGUAUAACAUCAAGGUUGACAUGUUCUUACAAUAGGGAUGGUAAAUAAAGUGGGAAUCAGGAGUCAGUCCUGGGACUGGGGCUAAUCAGAAGUCAGCAUAGAGAAUUAGCAUCCAAGAGGGAGUCACUUUUCUCUCCACAUCCCAGCCCUCUAAUCCAGCUCUUACAAUCUCAUGGACUCACAUUUCCCCCAUAGUCCCUGAGCCUUCAGAGAGGGCUGUGGGUGACAUUUUGAUGGUGUGAGUGACACAUUUUAUCAAUUUGUUUUCUACUUGUUAAGCAGGGGCCACAGCAACAACACAAACAACAGGCGAUGAUAUGUAUGCCAGGUGUAAGACACAGAAUUAAAAAUGCCCUUUACCAUGUUUAUUCAGGAACCAAACCAAGAGGUAUAGAGCAGAACAACAAUAGGAACAGAAGACUAUGGGUGGAAUUAAAAAUGUUUAGUAGGUAUUUGGUGGGGCAGUUCUUCCCCAUUAAACAGAAUUACUGGUAGCUCCAUCUCUGUUGAUUAGGAACAUAGGAUUGUGGGCUGGGAGUACACACCAAACAUGUUGCCUGAGGGGCAAAGGCGCUGGUAUUAUGUGUAAGGUUACAGGGGCAGCAAAGGACCAUGUCAAAUGGCCAGCCAGGGUGCUUCUUAAAAGGGACUGUGUUCCAGUUUAUUGGUAUGUGGAGUGUUUUGGCCCAGACUUCAGCAGGAUCAAUGGAGACCACUUUAGUUGGUAGGGAAUUCCUUGCUGUCUGGAAAGAAAUGCUCUAUCCAACAUAGGGGAAGUUGCUAGUCCAACCCCCAUUCAAGUGUCUCCUCCCUGGCUCAAGAUCUUGAGGAGUUCUAAAUAACCUUUGCCAUUGGCCUUUUAUCUGCUCAGGUCAGAGAUGCAUCUGGUUGGACUUUCUUUACUAUUAUGGUUAAUGGAUCCAUCUCUGUGGUGGUCCUGAGUCAUUGGUGUGGUGCCAGCACCAUAUUUGUCUCAACUAAAUUAAGGUUUCUAAUGGCUUGAGGCAAAAUCUUUGUCUAACUAUGAAAGAUAUUGGAUUUUGAGAGUGCUCAAAACUGUGCCUUCAAAAUACCAUUUUUCCUUUCAAUCAACCCUGUUGCUUGGGGGAGU